rnacentral:rRNA from 1 species
UACGUAGGGUGCAAGCGUUGUCCGGAAUUAUUGGGCGUAAAGAGCUCGUAGGCGGUCUGUCGCGUCUGCUGUGAAAACUCAGGGCUUAACCCUGAGCUUGCAGUGGGUACGGGCAGACUAGAGUGCGGUAGGGGAGACUGGAAUUCCUGGUGUAGCGGUGAAAUGCGCAAAUAUCAGGAGGAACGACCGGUGGCGAAGGCGGGUCUACUGGGCCGUAACUGACGCUGAGGAGCGAAAGCAUGGGGAGCGAACAGG